AUUGAACGCUGGCGGCAUGCUUCACACAUGCAAGUCGAACGGUAACAGGUUAAGCUGACGAGUGGCGAACGGGUGAGUAAUGCAUCGGAACGUGCCCGAUCGUGGGGGAUAACGCAGCGAAAGCUGCGCUAAUACCGCAUACGAUCUGAGGAUGAAAGCGGGGGACCGUAAGGCCUCGCGCGAUCGGAGCGGCCGAUGUCAGAUUAGGUAGUUGGUGGGGUAAAGGCUCACCAAGCCAACGAUCUGUAGCUGGUCUGAGAGGACGACCAGCCACACUGGGACUGAGACACGGCCCUGACUCCUACGGGAGGCAGCAGUGGGGAAUUUUGGACAAUGGGCGAAAGCCUGAUCCAGCAAUGCCGCGUGCAGGAAGAAGGCCUUCGGGUUGUAAACUGCUUUUGUACGGAGCGAAAAGGUCUCCUCUAAUACAGGGGGCUCAUGACGGUACCGUAAGAAUAAGCACCGGCUAACUACGUGCCAGCCGCCGCCGUAA
rnacentral:rRNA from 1 species